AUCCUCCUCCCUGCCUACAUCUAUAAAUAAAGCCUAAUACCUCUAUUCAUAAGAUCUCUCUCCACUCCAUAAUUCUUGUAAGGGGUCUAUGUGACAGGCAGACAUACCCACCUUUAAAACUUUUUAGCCACCUUAUUUUCACUUUCUUCCACCCUUCCAACAUACGAGAAGGAGAGUCAGCCAGGGGAAGGUUGAUCCCAAGCCA
rnacentral:lncRNA from 1 species